UGUGCAUGUGGUUCAACGGUCUCUCCCUCCCUCCAUGUCUCCUUCCCGCACUAUCAGAAGCUGCACGUCGGACUUCGGGUUUGAAAAUAGAACUAAUUCCUGAAUGAUCAUCACUGUUACCAGGAGUUAUCUGUGGCAACCUCCGUGUAAUAGUUGAUGUCUGGACAUGCAAAGCAUGCAGUUUGGAGUCAUCUAGCAGUGUGACGACAUUGACACAAGGAGGAGCGUGUUCCCAAAGGUUUGGCGAUCUACUUGACUGAAGAUCCAGACUCUUUCUUCAAGGAAUAUUUUACCUCUUCCACUGAAAACGACAUCGCAGAAAGCAUUCCAGCUACGGUCAGCCAUCUCAGAAGAAAUGGGAUUGGAUGUUGCCGUUGGAAUUGAAGGUGUUCAAGACCUCAGGAACACACAUUAGACACAUUAGAAGAACUCCUUUUCUACCAAACUAAAUUGUGGUAAUUGGCUUUGAGGUCUUUUGAAUUCCUACAUAUCCUAAAGUUUUUGCCAUUUCUUUUUCUCCUUUUUUAUUUCCCCUUUUCAAGAUCUGCUUAAAAUCUUGUAGA